GCCCUUUGUUUUGUUUUGGUGGUGCUAGGGAUUGAACCCAAGGCCUUGUGCAUUCGAGGCAAACACUCUACCAACUGAGCUAUAUCCCUAGCCCCCAUCUUUUUUUUUUUUUUAACUUUUUUAGUUGUAGGUGGACACAAUACCUUUAUUUAUUUAUUUUCAUGCAGUGCUGAGGAUCAAACCCAGUGCCUCACCCAUGCUAGGCAAGUGCUAUACCGCUGAGCCAUAACCCCAGUCCCCCAUCUUUUUAAAUAUAAAUAGUAUUUAGUUGUCAGUGGACCUUUAUUUAGUUAUAUGCUGUGCUGAGGAUUGAACCCAGUGCUUCACACAUGCUGGGCAAGCACUCCACCACUGAGCCACAGCCCAGCCCUGCAUCUUUUCUACUUCAUCUGUUUCAAAUGCUGAGUGUAUGAACUGUUUCUGUUACUGAUUCAGAUCUGUUCCACUACAAUUCAAAUAUAGGACCACUGGCAUUAGCACCUACAUAGGUCUCCUGGCCACCCACACACAUAGGAACUCAGGCUGCCACUCCUGUGUGGACCCUCUUCUACCAAUGUGGGUGUCCUACAGUCACCUCCAUCUUGGGGCACUGCAACCACUGCCACAGUCCCCAACAUGUGGUAGCCUGUACCUGGGGCCACUGCACUGGAUCUGGUGACAGCUGCUAGCCACAAUACUGCAUGCCACAGAGCUCUAUCUCAGAACAUACCACUCAAUGCCACCGCCUGGCUCUACCUCACCUGACACCCCAUUGCUGAAAGCACCUGCCUCCAUCUUGGGACACCUUAGUUGCCAUAUUUAUUUGGGGCAACUCCUGACUUGGAACACCAGCUGGGACUUAGAAACAAUAUCAAGGUACCUGAAGUCCCCCAACUCCCCCUUCUCCCCUGCAGCUUCUAACCCGGCACAGUGCCUGUGGCUACACGGCCAGUAGGUAGCUUGGAAAACCAGGUCCUGAACUGCCCAAUGUAAAGCAGCUCUCUGCCCUGGUACGUAGCCUUCAGACCUCAGCCCCCAGAGUGCAGCCCACAAGACCUGUGGAGAGGAAGGUUCCUGAUUGGGAAAUAGAGAGAGAGGGGGUGAGAGACAGUUUAAAGACUAAAUUAGAGACCAGAAUUUGCGAGUAUACAGGCGAUAUAAGAAGAAAGACUAGGGGCCCACAUCACAUGAGUGGGUCCCAAAGGAGAUCCUUGGGUUGCAGUCUCCCAUUGGGACUGGCAAAUACUAUACCCCACUUCUAGGACCCACAUCCCCAAGACCAACCCUCCCACCCCAAUAAUCUUCACCAUCCUGAGGGUGGAGAUCCUAACAACCCCACCUAUUGGAUGAAAAGGGAAGCUGGAAAGAUACUGAUCUCUAACAAAAAUAAUCCUUGUAUCUUCCUGGAGUCCCCCCCCCCCCAUCCUCCUGUCCUUACAUCCCCAAAAUUUGUGAAACCAAGUAUUUUUCACAAAUUAGACUAAUAAGGAAUGAGAUGUCUGAAUAGUAUAUUACAGUGGUGUGGUAUAUUCUUUUAUCUCCUAUUUUUACAAUUUUUACUUAAUAUUUUUUUAUACUCUACUGUCUACACUUACUUUUCUCCCCCAAAUAAUUAUCUUUUCUGCUACUAACCAGUUUCUUUAGAUUCCUGUUUCACGCUUUCUAAAAUCUAAAAACUGUAUAUCCUCACCUCCUAACCCAACAUGUCAUCCUACACCUCACCCCUGGUUCUUUGUUCACCAUCAGAAACUAGUCCCUUUUGCACACCUACCAUUUAUAUUGUAGAACUUACCAUUUCUGUAUAUUGGGACCAACUGUAAAUGUCUUAAUAGCAGAUAUUUGGUUUAAGGUUGUAUAUUGUUUGUAUUGGGAUCUGUCCACAUUGUUCUCCUUCUUAAAGGAGAGGUAUUGGUCCCCUGCAGGGGCACUGUAAGGCUAUAGAAUAAAAAAUGGUAAUUAAUCUGAUCCCCAGUGCUAGAAGGGAAGACACAAACAACAUGAAAAAACAAGGGAAGAAAGUGCCCCCAACCAACCAAGAUAUUACAUUGUUAGAAUCCAUGGCCAGCACAAAAGAAGAAAUGAAAGAAAAGGAGUUCAGGAUACACAUAAUUAAAAUGUUCUGUGACUUAAAGGAUGAUAUAAGAGCAAAUACAGGCUGCAAAAGAUCAUUUUGAUAAAGAGCUACAUAAGCAAAUACAGAAAGCAAAAGAUUGUUUCAAUAAAGAGAGAAGUUCUGGAAAAAACAGAAAUCCUUGAAAUGAAAGAAAUAAUAAACCAAAUCAAAAGCAUCACCAACAGAUUAGAUCACUUGGAAGACAGGACCUCACACAAUGAAGACAAAAUAUAUAAUCUUGAAAAGAAUGUUGCCACACAGUGAAGAUGGUAAGAAACCAAGAGCAGAAUAUUGAAGGAUUAUGGGAUAACAUAAAAAGACCAAAUUUAAG
rnacentral:lncRNA from 1 species